UACGUAGGGUGCGAGCGUUGUCCGGAAUUAUUGGGCGUAAAGAGCUUGUAGGCGGUUUGUCGCGUCUGCUGUGAAAAUCCGGGGCUCAACCCCGGACUUGCAGUGGGUACGGGCAGACUAGAGUGUGGUAGGGGAGACUGGAAUUCCUGGUGUAGCGGUGAAAUGCGCAGAUAUCAGGAGGAACACCGGUGGCGAAGGCGGCUCUCUGGGACGGUACUGACGCUGAGACGCGAAAGCGUGGGGAGCGAACAGG
rnacentral:rRNA from 1 species